UGUUGGAUAUUGUUUCAUUUGUUCAGUGUACUAAGCACAUUAAAUAUGAUUAAGUGCUAUUUACCAUGACUACUUAGGUAAUGUCUGUAGCUCUGGUGUUCAUAACUGCUGAAGUUGGAGUUGAAAAUGUAGCGGUUAUGUUUAAGUAGACAGAGUUUCCAAUAAAUUCACUAAACAGCUGAAGGGGAGAUGCAAGCACUGAUGCACAGCUGUGUGGACCUGCAUUGAGUUCAGAAGUAGACCCAGGUGUUUGCAUUGCAUGCAGAAACUCGAUAUUUAAAAUGAUAUAAACGUAAUGAGAUGGAGAAAGCAUGCCUGCCCCUCUCCCCCAACAGAUGGUACUAGCUAGAAUGAUAGGAUGGCCAAAUUCAAAGAACAGAAACCAAAGAGUGAACAAUAAGAACAAGAAGAGUGUUGGUCCAUGUUAUAUACCUUGUAAAAUGUGUUACUGAUGUAAACGUAGAAAUGUAAAACGUGUUUACAAGGUAGUUCACUAGGUAGAGGCACUUGCUGCCAAGCUUGAGGCCCUAAGUUUGGUACUGGGACCCACAUGGUAGAAGGAAAGGACUGACUCUCACAACCUGUCCUCAGACCUCCAUGGGGGCGGGUUAGCACAUGGGUAAACACAAAAAUGACUGACUAAUGUAAAUGUAACAAAGUCUUUAAAAUGUGAAUGAAAGAAACAAAACUUGUGGGAAUUUGUCCCCAUCAAUACUAGUUACUGAAUUCAGGACCUCUAGCAUGCUAGCACUGAACUAUAUCCCUAACCUCAGGAAAUCUUUCUUUGAAAGAAAGGAUUGGGUUGCUAGGCAUAAUGGUGCACCCCUUUAAUCCCAGCACUCAGGAGGCAGAGGCAGACCAGGCUCUGUAAGCAGAGAUUGCUCGUUCAUUCCCGGCCACCCAGACCUGAAUAAUCACACUAUAUUAAUUACAACACUCUUUGGCUGAUGUCUCAGGUGUAUUUUUAGCUAGCUCUUACAUCUUAAAUUACCCAUUUCUAUUAAUCUGUAUUGCCACGAGGCUGUGGCCUACCAGUAAGGUUCCAUUGUUCAGGCUUCUUUCUCCUAUGGCAACUACAUGAUGUCUCGUUGACUAUGCCUACUCUCUUUCUCUCUCUAUAUAUAUCUCUUCCAGCCUGGCUAUAUUCUGCCCUGCCAUAGGUCGAAGCAGCUUCUUCAUUAGCCAAUGCUAAUAAAACAUAUUAUUUAUAUAGAGGGGAAUCCCACAUCAUCUCCCCUUUUCUGUCUUAUUUUAAAAGGAAUGUUUUAACUUUAACAAAAUAAAAUUAUAUAUAACAAGACAGGUAUCAAGUAAGAAUUGCAGUUAUAAUAUUUAGUUCAUUUACAUUUGGCUAAUUAAGGAAAAUAUUAUCUAUCAUGUCUUUUUGAGUCUAAUGUUUUAUUUCUAAUUUAUCUUUUAUUAUUACUAAGAAAAACUAUAACUAUCUGUCUUCAACUCUUCAAAGACCCCAGAAGGAUAUACUAUUACUUAAAUAAACAGGAAGUGCAUUAUAAACAACUUUAUAAGCAAAGUUCUAGAAUUGACAGAGACCUCUUGCUGCCUGGACAGUCACCCAAAGUUCUUUUGUAACAUUGGGGAUCCAUUGUCAGCCUACAGGCCCAUAGUAUCUGGCAGACUUUUCCAUGAAGCAGGAAAUAGGAAGAUUUAUCUGUUCUGCCUUAUACUGGCAAAGUUCAUCAGUUGCUUUCUUCUGUGUCCUGCAGAAUGUCUGGCAGACUCUUUCAUGAAGCAGGGAAUCCUGAAGGAUCAUCUCACUUUCUUUUUAGCAAGUUUCUCAGUCAUUUUUCUGUGGCUCCUGCAUGUCCAGUUCAUACAGAAUACCAUGAAGCACUCCAGGCAAGAGCAAUUUCUUGCCCAAAUGGCUAACAAACUCCAUAAGAGCCUCUUUGAUGCCCAUCAUCCUCUUGAAGUAGACUGGUGCUGCCAGAAUCAGACAUGUCUCACUGUUGAGAAAAGUCUAAGUUCUUAAAUCAUUUUAAAUGCCAUAUUCUAUAGGUCUUUAAAGUGUUGAAGAUUAUCUAUCUAACUGAAAUAGAUCUCUGUAUAUCUAGAAAACUUAGCUAACGUGACUACAAAUUUGACUAUUAUAGAACACUGUUGAUCUGUAUUUUUUAAUUAUACGUACAUUUUUAAAUGAGCUGCAUAAACACAUACCUUAAACAAAAAUAGAAAUAUACAUAUACCAAAUUGACCUCAAAUUUGUAUCAAUAAACCAAAGUCUAUACUAAUGUAAAGUAUUUAUUUCUAUAUCCUACUCCUCUUUAAAUGAAAACAUUUAUAAACAAUCGUUUGGGGAAUUUGGGCAUAGUUUUUCCAAAGUGCUUCCAGCUGUUUGUUGGAUGAAGUAUUUUUAGGGUUCAUGGAGACCUUUUGGGGUCUUGUCCUAUCAAAUCACAUUAGCCUGGAAGGAAUUCACAGGUUCUCAUCCUCUGUGGGAACAAAAGCAGAUCCUCUUUUUCAAAGUUACAUAUCCUUAGACCCAAAUUUUGAAGUUAAGAUACCUUUAUGUUGAAUUAAUUUAUCAUCCUCCAGAAACAAAUGUCUCUGCAGUCAAAAAAUUUAAAGAAAACACAAUAAUAUACAUAACCCAGACUUUCUGUGCAUUUUCAUCUUUACAUGGCUCAUUUUUCUUUACUCUUUUAAGCUAUGACUAUCUGUACUCUUAAAUUACUUUUAUUGUCUCUUUAAAGACUUUGUUUUAUUUUAAAAGCUAUUUUUUAUUACUGUCUAUACUCUUUUUUUUCUCUCUCCCACACCUACUGUACAUUUUUAAAACAUACUGUGUCUUGUUUAGAGGCCUUUUAUGUCUGAAUCUGUACUAUUGUGUAUCUGAAAUGUUUUUCUGACAAGGAGCUUUUUGUUGUUGUUGUUGUUUUCUUUUUUGUUAAGAGGGCAUGGCAAGGACCAUCUCCAUGGCCCUGCCUGUUUCCCAGUCCAGCAUGGUAAAGAGCAGAAAAUGGGACAAAGCUAAGAACUCAAAGCCCUUCCCAGGGACAUACGUCUCCUGCAAGGGUCUGCCUGCUAAAGGUUCCAUUACCUCCCAAACAGCACCACCAGCUGGGGACCAAGUGUUAAAUACAUGAGUUUGUGGGGGUGGGGGCAACCCUAUGUUUAAAAAGAAAAGAAAGGUACUAGAUUUUAGCAGACACUUUCCAAAGAAGAUACUGUUGGAAAGUAAAGACAACCCCCCCCCCCCCAGAAAAAAA